rnacentral:rRNA from 1 species
UCCGGAGGGUGCGAGCGUUGUUCGGAAUCACUGGGCGUAAGGCGCGUGUAGGCGGCCCACUAAGUCUGAUGUGAAAGCCCGGGGCUCACCCCCGGAAGUGCAUUGGAAACUGGUGGACUCGAGUCCCGGAGAGGAGAGUGGAAUUCCUGGUGUCGCGGUGAAAUGCGUAGAUAUCAGGAGGAACACCGGUGGCGAAGGCGGCUCUCUGGACGGUGACUGACGCUGAGACGCGAAAGCGUGGGGAGCAAACAGG